UACGUAGGGUGCGAGCGUUGUCCGGAAUUAUUGGGCGUAAAGAGCUUGUAGGCGGUUUGUCGCGUCUGCUGUGAAAAUCCGGGGCUCAACCCCGGACUUGCAGUGGGUACGGGCAGACUAGAGUGUGGUAGGGGAGACUGGAAUUCCUGGUGUAGCGGUGAAAUGCGCAGAUAUCAGGAGGAACACCGAUGGCGAAGGCAGGUCUCUGGGCCACUACUGACGCUGAGAAGCGAAAGCAUGGGGAGCGA
rnacentral:rRNA from 1 species